rnacentral:lncRNA from 1 species
AACUGUACAUGAUUUUUAUAAUAAUUUCAUAGAUGAAAUGAGCAAACAUAACACUAUUAAUAACAAGCAAUAAACUAACAAAAGGUUAAAAUUUAGGACAACCUACAAUACAACUAGUAACCUAAUUUUUACAGUUAAUAUGGUUAACAUAUAUAAACUUGAUAUUUUGGAAUGGAUUACAGAUUAUAUAUGAUGCAACCCAUUGGAUUUACAUACAACAAAUAUUCAAUGCCUUUUAUAUUGACAUUGUUCUAAAUGACCUUUAAAAUGAAGGUCAAGUUGAGGUAACUAAAAGCAUCUUUUAUGUAAAUUUGUAAAAAAAAAAUUACCCAUUAGAAAUGCCGUUUGUAAAACAUAAGAUACUUGUGAAUACUCUAACCCUAUGAUUUCUGGAAUGUUGAUGGAACUUGUCCAUCAUUAGUAUAAAUCAUAUUAGGAAAAUGCUUUUAUAUAAAAUUUGCAAAAUACAAGAUUAUUAUCAACAACAAUUAAUUAAAAGUUAUGAUUUUCUUUAAACUAUCAGUUGUACAAAAAAGUUAAUUUCAUGGUUCAUCUUAGACAAGUUCUGAAGUUUUCUUUUAUAAAUCACAGAUAUCAAACUGAUAGUAACAUUUUGAAAUAUCCAAACAUUUUAAAAUCAAAAGAAGAGUUACUUCCCCCUGAGCUUGAUAUUCAUAAAACACAACCAAUUUGUGGCAAAAUUUCAAAAACUUGUAAAAUGAUAAACAUAUAUAAAUCCUAUUUUACUUGUAUAAAGUUUUUGUUACAAAAAAAAUAUUACAAAUAAAAAAAUGCAGGAAUAAGAAGAAAAUUGUUGUUUAUUUGUUAAGUUCUGGGUGGAUGGAUGAAGAUAUUUUUUUCAAAAAAAAUGUAUAUUCAUCAAGAAAUACACAUUGAAUAGCAAUACUAUUUCCUCUAAAAUACUGACUCAGGGUAACUAUGAGUAUGACUAUCACUCUAAGCAUACUGUAGACAAUUAAACUGAUGUAAAAAUAUGUAUAUUUUAGUAAUAAAUUCCUAAGUAGAUAAGUUAUUUCAGAAUCAGACAACCUCAUAUGUUGUUUUCAACAUUUCAUUAGUAAAAAAAAAGUCGAAAUAUGAUGCCUUUAAAAGUAUUAACACUGCUUUAAGCUAUAACUGAUGCAUGAAACAAUCAAACAUUUAAUGAAAUGAACAAAUUAUGGAAUGAUAAAAUAUUUGAAAUGUUUACAACAAAAUCUAUCACAAUUCUAUCACAACCACAAGUAAUAUAUACUGACAUGUUUCCAAGGCAACACAUUUGUUGAUAUAUAAUAAAAUAGCACAUUUGCCCUGCUUGAAUAUACUGAUUAUAUCAUGAGUAUAAGGAUGCUUAAAAUCUGAUUUCUAUCUGUAUAAAUGGGCGAGAGACAAAUAUCUCCUGCAGGAUGAGACAAAAUAUUCAAUAAAUGGUUCUUGAGAGAGGGGCGACCCCAGGAUGCAAAGCUGAAUAUUUUUAAAAGAGAGUAAACAGAGUAAUUUUGAGUAGGUUCACAAAUUUUACCAUGAAAAGGUUACCUACAGAUCCCUUAAUAAAUUGUUUAUGUGAAACAAUCUUAACAUUUUCAAAACAGAAUUCAUCUAAAGUGUAUAUAAUAUUUGUUUGAUUCAACCACACUUGCUUUAAAGGUCACUUCUAUUAGGCUAAACCUGUCUUGUCAGGUCCCCCUUUUUUGAAUUUCCAAUACCUAUGAAUUUUGAACCAUAAUUCAAACGUCACCUGUCACAAAAGGUCAAUUUCUCUAGUCCUGACAGCAACCCUUCAAACAGGUUCCACUGAAUCUAAAUGCAUUACAUCGGAUUACACUUAGAUACAGCUCGACUUAUAUAGACAUGACAUUGUGUUUAACCUCAAAUAUGUUUGAUUUCAAAUAAGCCUAUUAUAAUUCCCCAGGAACUAUACUAUAACAAUAUAACUGUGGAUAUAUAAGAUCACUGUAUAUAAGACUGUAAGAUAUACAAGAUAAUUGUACAAGGUCACUGUACAAAAAUAAAAAACUUUUAUUAUACAAAUAUUUUCUAUGUACAAUUGUUAAGAAAUACUAAACUGUAAUACUGAUUUAUCAGUAGAAAGAACACUGGCAAUAUAUCACUUAGAGCAGUGUGUUAAUAUAUGGCAUGAAAAAAAAUCUGAUCCCUCUUUUUAUUACUUAGCAUCAGUUUGGAAUGAGAAGGAUUAGUUCAUAGUGUGAAAAACAGUCAACUAUUUACUUUCUUGAUAAAAAAAAAUGUUCCAUUUCACCAAUUUCAACCUAUCCUAACAUUUUGUAUCCCUCUUGUUUUUCCUAAUCUACUUUGACAUGCACAACCUAUAAUUUUUACUAUUCUUACAAAAAUUAUCUGUUAAAAUGUUUUGAUUUAUUGAUAUCAAAUUGAUUGUUAUUUCUAAUAUAUCUUUCAUACAGUUUCCCGUUCAUUUAUUUCUAUAUAUUUUAUAUAAAAAUCUUCGGAAAUUGUUUCCCUGUUUCUACAUGUUUUAUGUACUUCUUGUUUUAAAAAAGUUUACAAAGAAGAAAAUUAUACUCAAAACAAAAAAAUCACAAAAAUCACAAUAAAAUCUAUAUAGAUGAUUAUUUUUUACAAUGUAAGAAAAUUUAACCCUGCUUUGUAAGACUUAUUCUACUUACAUAAAUCAAUUUUUGAAUACAUUAUUUAUAACUUUAUCUAACUUAAUAAAACCAGAUCUUAGCUCCCUGUGGUAUGCUUAUAUAUAAAAUAUUAUGUCCAAAAUGUAAAACUGAGUAUGUUACUUAAAUGAACACUUAUGAAUAAAAACUAUUCAUCAUACACAAUGGAAUGGCAUAAAAAGCACAUAAAAAGCACAUGUAAAGCACAUAUAGAUAUACAUAAAUUAUUAAUUAACAAGGAAUGUCAAAAAGUGAUGUAUUAAUUAGAUUUUUAUAAAUCGUAAUUGCAUAUCAAUUGCAAAGAUGUAUAAUAUAUAAGUUUUAGUACAUAUAACAAUAAAUGUACUGACUAAAAACAUUGAGAUGGUUCCAUCUUUUAUAAAUGACUAAUAAGAAAUUUGUAUGUAUGUAUAUCAUACAGAUCUACUGUAAUUAGAACUCAAGUGCUUAUGAUUAAAUUUUAACAGACCGAUUCUGAUAACAGACACGAUUCAAAAUGAAAUUUAAAAUUAAACAAGAGUGCACACACUGAAAUGUCUCGCCUUCUAAACUAAUCAUUGAUAUUAUGUUGAUAGUCCUAAGUAUAAAGCUAAGCUUUAUUACAACUGUCACAUAAACUUGACAUUAACCAAGAUAACUAAACAAAGACCAAUGAACCUUGAAAAUGAGGUCAAGGUCAGAUGAACCAUGCCAGGAAGACAUGUACAGCUAACAAUGCUUCUAUACAACAUAUUAUAUAGUCGACCCAUUACUUAUAGUUUAAGAAAAAUAGACCAAAACGCAAAAACUUAACACUGUGUAAUGAACCAUGAAAAUGAGGUCACGGUCAAAUAAAACCUGCGGGACUGACAUGAAGAUCAUAAAAUAUUUCCAUACACCAAAUAUAGUUGACCUAUGGCAUAUAGUAUUAGAUAAAAAGACCAAACUCAAAAACUUAACUUUGACCACUGAACCAUGAAAAUGAGGUCAAGGUCACAUGACAUCUGCCCGCUAG